CUUUUCGAGGUAGGAGUCGACUCCUGUGAGGUAUGGUGCUGGGUGCAGAUGCAGUGUGGCUCUGGAUAGCACCUUAUGGACAGUUGUGUCCCCAAGGAAGGAUGAGAAUAGCUACUGAAGUCCUAAAGAGCAAGCCUAACUCAAGCCAUUGGCACACAGGCAUUAGACAGAAAGCUGGAAGUUGAAAUGGUGGAGUCCAACUUGCCUGGACCAGCUUAAUGGUUCUGCUCCUGGUAACGUUUUUAUCCAUGGAUGACUUGCUUGGGUAAGGACAUGAAGACAGUUCCUGUCAUACCUUUUAAAGGGUUUUUAAUGACCACAACAAGCAAGCAUGCAGCUUACUGCUUGAAAGGUGAGGAUUGGAAAUGUUGGGACUAUUAUAAUUGCAGAAUACAUGAUGAUCUCAAUCCAACUUGAACUCUCUCACUGAUUACUUGAUGACAAUAAAAUAUCUGAUAUUCUGCA
rnacentral:lncRNA from 1 species